AAAAGAUACAUGAAGAUUAGUU
rnacentral:snRNA from 1 species